rnacentral:snRNA from 1 species
AGCUUUGCGCAGUGGCAGUAUCGUAGCCAAUGAGGUUUAUCCGAGGCGCGAUUAUUGCUAAUUGAAAACUUUUUCCAUUUGAUUUUUUAAAUGGGUUUUUCAGGCACCUAGGUG